rnacentral:rRNA from 1 species
UACGGGGGGAGCAAGCGUUGUUCGGAUUUACUGGGCGUAAAGUGCGCGUAGGCGGUCGUGACAAGUCACUUGUGAAAUCUCCGGGCUUAACUCGGAACGGUCAAGUGAUACUGUCGGACUAGAGUACAGAAGGGGCAACUGGAAUUCUCGGUGUAGCGGUGAAAUGCGUAGAUAUCGGGAGGAACACCGGUGGCGAAGGCUGCGAUCUGGGUCGAGACUGACGCUGAGGCGCGAAAGCGUGGGGAGCAAACAGG